GAUUCACUUCGGUGAUGACGCUGGGAACGCGAGCGGCGGAUGGGUGAGUAACACGUGGGUAACCUGCCCUAAAGCCUGGGAUACCACUUGGAAACAGGUGCUAAUACCGGAUAACAACAAUAGCUGCAUGGCUAUUGCUUAAAAGGCGGCGAAAGCUGUCGCUAAAGGAUGGACCCGCGGUGCAUUAGCUAGUUGGUAAGGUAAUGGCUUACCAAGGCGACGAUGCAUAGCCGAGUUGAGAGACUGAUCGGCCACAUUGGGACUGAGACACGGCCCAAACUCCUACGGGAGGCAGCAGUAGGGAAUCUUCCACAAUGGGCGAAAGCCUGAUGGAGCAACGCCGCGUGAGUGAAGAAGGUUUUCGGAUCGUAAAGCUCUGUUGUUGGUGAAGAAGGAUAGAGGUAGUAACUGGCCCCUAUUUGACGGUAAUCAACCAGAAAGUCACGGCUAACUACGUGCCAGCAGCCGCGGUAAUACGUAGGUGGCAAGCGUUGUCCGGAUUUAUUGGGCGUAAAGCGAGCGCAGGCGGAAAGAUAAGUCUGAUGUGAAAGCCCCCGGCUUAACCGAGGAAUUGCAUCGGAAACUGUGUUUCUUGAGUGCAGAGGAGGAGAGUGGAACUCCAUGUGUAGCGGUGGAAUGCGUAGAUAUAUGGAAGAACACCAGUGGCGAAGGCGGCUCUCUGGUCUGUAACUGACGCUGAGGCUCGAAAGCAUGGGUAGCGAACAGGAUUAGAUACCCUGGUAGUCCAUGCC
rnacentral:rRNA from 1 species